rnacentral:rRNA from 1 species
UACGGAGGAUGCAAGCGUUAUCCGGAUUCAUUGGGUUUAAAGGGUGCGUAGGCGGGAUAAUAAGUCAGUGGUGAAAGCCUACAGCUUAACUGUAGAACUGCCAUUGAUACUGUUAACCUUGAGUACAAUUGAAGUGGGCGGAAUGUGUCAUGUAGCGGUGAAAUGCUUAGAUAUGACACAGAACACCGAUAGCGAAGGCAGCUCACUAAACUGUAACUGACGCUGAGGCACGAAAGCGUGGGGAUCAAACAGG